rnacentral:rRNA from 1 species
AGCAGUAGGGAAUCUUCCGCAAUGGGCGAAAGCCUGACGGAGCAACGCCGCGUGAGUGAUGAAGGUCUUCGGAUCGUAAAACUCUGUUAUUAGGGAAGAACAAAUGUGUAAGUAACUAUGCACGUCUUGACGGUACCUAAUCAGAAAGCCACGGCUAACUACGUGCCAGCAGCCGCGGUAAUACGUAGGUGGCAAGCGUUAUCCGGAAUUAUUGGGCGUAAAGCGCGCGUAGGCGGUUUUUUAAGUCUGAUGUGAAAGCCCACGGCUCAACCGUGGAGGGUCAUUGGAAACUGGAAAACUUGAGUGCAGAAGAGGAAAGUGGAAUUCCAUGUGUAGCGGUGAAAUGCGCAGAGAUAUGGAGGAACACCAGUGGCGAAGGCGACUUUCUGGUCUGUAACUGACGCUGAUGUGCGAAAGCGUGGGGAUCAAACAGGAUUAGAUACCCUGGUAGUCCACGCCGUAAACGAUGA